ACUUUUUUUUGCUGUGAAGUGAGUGCCUUGAUCAGAACAGUGAAACGGCGUUUUGAAGACUCAGAUACAGUGUCAGUCUUAGUUCCAAAGGGAAGAGUGCUUCCACCAGGAAACACAACAGUGAUUCCACCAAACUCUCAGUUAACGUGCCACCCAGCCACUUGGGGCUCCUCAUGCUUCUGAGUCAACAGGCUAAGAAGGGAGCUGCUGUGUUUUCUGGGGUGAUUGGUCCUGGCUACCAAGGGAAAAUUGGGCUGCUACUCCCCGACGGAGUUACAGGAUACCAAAGAGAAGAGUAAACAUGACCCAAGAACCCUACGUCCUCUUCUGGGGAAGGUUUAGUGUGUCUCUGGUUUUACCCAAGAUAGUUGAAUCAGGUUCAUCCGUGAACUGUGUGUGAGCUGCG
rnacentral:lncRNA from 1 species